rnacentral:lncRNA from 1 species
UUUUUGUAGCUGAAAAGUAACCUUUGAAAAAAUAUCUCCCUGCAAUCGAAACUUACACUUCAAAAUAGUUCCCGAACAUCUCAAAUUUUCGCAAAAGAAAACGUUAUAUUUUUUAGAAUUAUUCUUAAAUAGUGGCAAUUUUCAUAAUGGAAACAAAACUUAGCUAUGACGACAGUCCAGCAAGCAAGCGGCUCGCCAUGGGUCCGAGUUCAGACUCUGAGGCACAAGUUUCUAACAAGUAGUUGAAUAUAGAUACAUCCGGGACGUAUUAUACGUAUUCCUUCAUUACAGAAAGGACAAUCCUGAACAAUUUUGUAUUUAUCAGAGAGCUAAGCACACGAAGACCUUGGAGCUAGUUCUAACAGAGUUCACGCUAUUGGGCAUCAUUUUGCCGCACUUAACCGCUCGCUUAGUCAAGCGCUGUCAAAGGCGUGGCAUCAAUGGCUACAUCAUAACGAACUUUGAAGGACUACAGGCAUUUGGCGUGAUGGAGGGAUCCGCAAAGGAUAUUCAACAUCUCAAAAAGUGGAUAGAAACCUGCUGUGUGCCACCCAGGCUUACGCGUAGAUUUGUGUUUUCGAUGUCGAAUGAGUUCAAACUUGCGCGACGGCAAAAUUACACAAGUUUUGAGCAGCGACAAGAACGUUAGUCAACACUGAAAUUUAUUCAAGUUCUUAAUUAAACUUUAAAUUGCACUCGAACUAAAAACUGCAAGCAAACGUAA